rnacentral:rRNA from 1 species
CCCUUAGAUGUUCUGGGCCGCACGCGCGCUACACUGAUGCAUUCAACGAGUUUCUUCCUGGUCCGAGAGGAAUGGGUAACCUUUUGAAAGUGCAUCGUGAUAGGGAUAGACUAUUGCAAUUAUUGGUCUUCAACGAGGAAUUCCUAGUAGACGUAGUUCAUCAGACUGCAUCGAUUACGUCCCUGCCCUUUGUACACACCGCCCGUCGCACCUACCGAUUGAAUGGUCCGGUGAAAUCUCCGGACUGGCGUGAGUCGGAGCAACCUGACAAACACCGGAAAGUUGAUUAAACCUUACCAUUUAGAGGAAGGUGAAGUCGUAACA